UUAAAUCAAAAGGAGCGGGAUGAGCGAAAGAAGACGUUGUAGGAGGAACGAGAGAAGAUGUUGUAGGAGGUACAGAAGAAGCGAGAGAGGUUGGCUGAGGUUGACCAAGAGAAGUGUACCCACAAUGUGAUUGAGGUAUAAGUAUAAUUUAAAAUAUAUGCGUUAUAUGUUGUUGUUAUCAUUUGUGUAUUUUAAUUUUUGUAUUGUAUUCA
rnacentral:lncRNA from 1 species